GUGGUCACCAAGGGGCCUAUCAGGGCGACCCAUCCUGGUCAUCAAGGGGAUGGAGGCUGGGAGGCCCCGGGGCCUAGUCCUGCGCUGUGCCAUGAGCGCCCCGCGGGCGAACCCGAGCACACCUCCCGGUCGGAGGGACCAAAGGGCUCCUGGGGACUAGAGGGGACCACGCAUCGGGCCUCCUGCGGCUGCGCCGGCCGCGAGAGGCGGGCCCUCCCUCCGGGGCGGAGCUUGGAGUCCGGGCGCCGGCCUCGUCCCCUUCGCGGCCGAGCGAGUUAGCAGCGCCCUCUGGCGUCCGCCCGGGGUGCUCAGGGCCCGCGAGAAAGGGGCGGGCCGGGGGCGGCGCCGCACAUCCUCACAGGGCCUCCCGCCCCGGGGGCCGCACCAGGCUCCGGCAGGAGGGUGCGCAGGCUCGAGGGGUAUGUCACCGAAAACGAAAGCCCCGGACCCCGUCUCAACCCGCAAGCCUCCACAUCUGUCCCACCGCUGUUAGUGCAGAAUCAAUGUUUUGUUUGGGUUUUACAAUUGAACCACCCCACGUAGAGUAUGGGCUUCCUUGGUGGCUCAGAGGUUAAACCAUCUGCCCGCAAUGCAGGAGACCUGGGUUCGAUCCCUGGCUCGGGAAGAUCCCCUGGAGAAGGAAAUGGAAAACCACUCCAGUAUUCUUGGCUGGAGAAUCCCAUGGAUGGAGGAAGCUGGUGGGCUACAGUCCACGAGGUCCCAAAGAGUCGGACACGACUGAGCGACUUCACUUUCACGUAGUUUGCAAUCUACAUUUUUUGUUUAGCAAAAUAUUUGAUCAUCUUUCUUAUUAGCACAGAUUGGUCUACUACAUUCCUUUAACAAUAUGAACAGAAGUUUUUGUGUGGGGUGUUGUUUUAAAUUUUAUUGGAAAAUCAGAAAAAAUUGUAUUUAUAUUUUGUUCAUCUUGUCUAUUAUCACCUGUCUGUAACUUAUCUGUCAUUGUAAAAAUUCACUGAUUUGUGUUUCUGGUAGGUAUGCCUUAGGAUUUUCCUGGGAGUGAGGGAAGAAAAAAUUAUUAGUGAAAAGAGUUGAAUUCUUAGUGGGAAAUCUCACAUUUGGCUUCAAACUCUACAGAGAACACACUGGCAUUAAUUAUAAACCUUUUAUCUGCUUCCCAUUUGCACAGUUCUGUUUGCAUCAUUCUGUUUACAUCAUGCUUGGUUCUGCCAACAAAAUUGGGAGAUUGUAUAAUUAUAUAUGUUAUAUAGUUAUAUAUAUAUAAUUAUAUAUAUUUGGCUGCACAGCACAGCAUGUGAGAUCCCCCACCAGGGAUUAAACCUGUGCCCCCAGCAGUAGAAGCACAGAGUCCUAAUCCCUGGAUUGCCAACGAAGUCCCUGUAUAAUAAUUUUUAGGUCAAGAAACUGAGCUCUGAGAUACUAGAAGGUGGACACACAGUGUCUCUCCCAGGUGCUCAGAAACGAUAGACACGCACACAGACGCACGCAGAGACGCGGCAGGACUUCCAGGGGCCCACAGGCUACGAGGGAGCCCGGAAGGGCAUGCAGCGGCGUCUCUGUGCUUUUCAUCUGUGUUUCCUUAGAUGUUAAGCAUCUUUUCCUGUGUUUGCAAUUUAUGUAUCUUCUUUGGUGAAAUCUCUAACCUAGUUUUUUGUCCUAUUUUUUGGUUGUUUUCCUUGUUACUUUUGACUUCUCAGGAUAGAAUUCCUUUAUCUGACAUAUAUUUCGUAAAGAUUUUCCUCCCAAUCUGUAAGAGAAAGAAGUCUGCCUUAUUUCUGAUUUCAGAGUGAAAACACUGCCUUCACCAUGAAGUACAAUGUUGGUGGGCUUUAGCUGCUCUUUAUCCAGCUGAAGAAGCUUCCUUCUAUUCCUAGUUUGCUGAGAGUUCUUAACAUGAAUGGAUAUUGAAUCAUGUAGAUAUUGUUUCUAAAUCUAUUGAGAUGAACCUGUUUUCUCUUUUUGCAUUUGUUAAGAUGGUGAAUUACAUCAACUGAUCUUGAAUAUUAAGCCAACUUUGCAUUCUUGUGCUGAAUUUCCUUGAUCAUAAGGUAAUGUCCUCUUUAUGUAUUGCUAGAUUUAAUUUUCUAAACUUUUUAAAAAGAUUUAAAUGUUUAUGAGGGAAAUUGGUAUUUUUUUUUCUUUGUAAUAUCUGUUUUUUUGUAGCCAGGUAAUAUUAGUCUUAUUAAUGCAACAGGAAGCAUUCAACUCUUCUAUUUUCAUGAACAGAAUGAGCAAAUUUGUAUUAUUUAUUCCUUUGUCAUUCUUUCCUGUCAUUUUUAAAAUUAUGGAUUAAAUUUCUUUAUCGUAAAUAAG
ensembl:lncRNA